rnacentral:rRNA from 1 species
UACGUAGGGUGCGAGCGUUGUCCGGAAUUACUGGGCGUAAAGAGCGUGUAGGCGGCCAUACAGGUCCGUUGUGAAAACUGGAGGCUCAACUUCCAGACGUCGACGGAAACCGUGUGGCUAGAGUCCGGAAGAGGAGAGUGGAAUUCCUGGUGUAGCGGUGAAAUGCGCAGAUAUCAGGAAGAACACCAAUGGCGAAGGCAGCUCUCUGGGACGGUACUGACGCUGAGACGCGAAAGCGUGGGGAGCGAACAGG